rnacentral:rRNA from 1 species
UACGUAGGGGGCAAGCGUUGUCCGGAUUUAUUGGGCGUAAAGAGCGUGUAGGCGGCUUGGCAAGUCUGCUGUGAAAACUCGAGGCUCAACCUCGAGCUGUCGGUGGAAACUGCUUGGCUAGAGUCCGGAAGAGGAGAGUGGAAUUCCUGGUGUAGCGGUGAAAUGCGCAGAUAUCAGGAGGAACACCGGUGGCGAAGGCGGGUCUCUGGGCCGAUACUGACGCUGAGGAGCGAAAGCGUGGGGAGCGAACAGG